UACGAAGGGGCUAGCGUUGUUCGGAAUCACUGGGCGUAAAGGGCGCGUAGGCGGCUUGAUAAGUCGGGGGUGAAAGCCUGUGGCUCAACCACAGAAUUGCCUCGAUACUGUCUGGCUCGAGACCGGAAGAGGUAAGUGGAACUGCGAGUGUAGAGGUGAAAUCGUAGAUAUUCGCAAGAACACCAGUGGCGAAGGCGGCUUACUGGUCCGGUUCU
rnacentral:rRNA from 1 species